UACAGAGGGUGCGAGCGUUAAUCGGAAUUACUGGGCGUAAAGGGCUCGUAGGCGGCCAACUAAGUCAGACGUGAAAUCCCCAGGCUCAACCUGGGAACUGCGUCUGAUACUGGAUGGCUUGAAUCCGGGAGAGGGAUGCAGAAUUCCAGGUGUAGCGGUGAAAUGCGUAGAUAUCUGGAGGAAUACCGGUGGCGAAGGCGGCAUCCUGGACCGGCAUUGACGCUGAGGAGCGAAAGCCAGGGGAGCAAACGGG
rnacentral:rRNA from 1 species